rnacentral:rRNA from 1 species
GACGAACGCUGGCGGCGUGCUUAACACAUGCAAGUCGAACGAUGAAGCCGGAGCUUGCUCUGGUGAAUUAGUGGCGAACGGGUGAGUAACACGUGAGUAACCUGCCCUUGACUCUGGGAUAACUGCUAGAAAUGGUAGCUAAUACCGGAUACGACCCUCGGAGGCAUCUCCAGGGGGUGGAAAGAAUUUCGGUCAAUGAUGGACUCGCGGCCUAUCAGCUAGUUGGUGAGGUAACGGCUCACCAAGGCGACGACGGGUAGCCGGCCGGAGAGGGUGCACGGCCACACUGGGACUGAGACACGGCCCAGACUCCUACGGGAGGCAGCAGUGGGGAAUAUUGCACAAUGGGCGCAAGCCUGAUGCGGCAGCGACGCGUGAGGGAUGACGGCCUUCGGGUUGUAAACCUCUUUUAGUAGGGAAGAAGCGAAAGUGACGGUACCUGCAGAAAAAGCACCGGCUAACUACGUGCCAGCCGCCGCCGUAA